rnacentral:rRNA from 1 species
CCUACGGGAGGCUGCAGUGAGGCAUAUUGGUCAAUGGACGCAAGUCUGAACCAGCCAUGCCGCGUGCAGGAAGACGGCUCUAUGAGUUGUAAACUGCUUUUGUACGAGGGUAAACGCAGAUACGCGUAUCUGUCUGAAAGUAUCCUACGAAUAAGGAUCGGCUAACUCCGUGCCAGCAGCCGCGGUAAUACGGAGGAUUCAAGCGUUAUCCGGAUUUAUUGGGUUUAAAGGGUGCGUAGGCGGUCGGAUAAGUUAGAGGUGAAAUCCCGAGGCUCAACUUCGGAAUUGCCUCUGAUACUGUUCGGCUAGAGAGUAGUUGCGGUAGGCGGAAUGUAGGGUGUAGCGGUGAAAUGCUUAGAGAUCGUACAGAACACCGAUUGCGAAGGCAGCUUACCAAGCUACUUCUGACGUUGAGGCACGAAAGCGUGGGGAGCGAACAGGAUUAGAUACCCUUGUAGUC